rnacentral:lncRNA from 1 species
AAACCACUUGGGGAAUAAUAGGGCCUACGCCCGGCUGCUCUGCAGCUGGCUCGGGCCCUAAGAAAGAAACAAAGAAAAACCCCUACAGGAAUAACAGGGCCUACGCCCGGCUGCUCUGCAGCUGGCUCGGGCCCUAAUAACUAGGACCCCGUUGGGGCACUGGCGGGCCCGAGCUGUGUCGCGUCCCCCCCCCAACGCGCUGCCUGCCCGUCCCAUUUGUGUCCUCUGGCCAUCGCCCUCUUUGGUAACGCCCAUCACUGCAAAGACCCUUUUCCUUCAUCGGCGUUUGCUGUUCUUCCUGCCAGUGCGUGUUGCUUUCACUUACACUUGCCACAGCCAGCCUCGUGAGUGCCUAGCCUAUUGGAUAUCACUGUCACCUACACAGGACAGUCAUUACCUUUCUAUUAAUACUUUGUUUUUUAAUUUCACAUUAAUUUCCAUAUUGUAUAAACAACUGGAAAAAACUUGAGCCCCUGCCCCUGUAUAAUCAUGUGCACGUCUCUGUUCUAGCUCUAAGGUGAAUCUUCACUGCUCAUGUUCUCCUCAGAAGCAGUCACCUCACUCCCCUCAGGUUACUGUACACAUGCACCAACUGCCUGCUUCAGGUUUGGAUGGAGCUUCAUGGUUGUCUUUUGGAGAAAUGACCAGUCAAGUUGUGUUUGAAAUUUGAUUUUUUUCAGGGGCAAAAGGAGCCUCUGCAUUCUUGUCAAAUAUGUAAAUAGCAUGUUUUUGCAGGUGCUAAAAACCAGACUCUGAGUGUGUGUGUGUGCGUGUGUGUGUGUGUCUGUGUGUGUGUGUGUGUGUGUGUGUGUGCGUUCAAGUCACAUGACAUAUUUAACCGGAUGUAGCUGCAAGACGGAGCCUCGUUGACUCUCCGUUUCAAUUUAUCUCAAAAGUGAGGACCUCAACCUAUAUACCAGUUUUUAAAUUGUGUUGAUAGGCCAAAUAAAACCAGAGUUAUGAUAAAUUAUGUCCGCGAUACUUGUUUUCUGCUUAUUUUGAUCACGUUCGGCGCUCGAUCGCGCUGUAUGAGACAGGAAAACAUAGCAUGCAGACAUUAGCGACAGGUCUUACAGGCGGAAAAGGCUUGCCAAAGGAAAAAAAAAAACACACCACAACAUCUCUCCUAUUGGUGGAAAACUUCACCACAACAACCAAUCCAAAAUUAUAUGGUGACUGAUUGACAAGGGGCGGGAACUUACGUUCUUCCUGCAAUAUGAGAAGGGAGGGAGGGACUCUCAGCAGGGAUGCAGUCUGGGACACGUAGUUGCAAACCUAGCGACUUUGUUGUUAGAUUCAAUGACUUUUCAGACCCCCUAACGACUUUUUUUAGAAAGAAAGUGACUUUUAUCGACUUCUUCUGGAGUUUAGAGACUCUGACAUGAAGCAGGCUUUCCUUACUGAGGAGUUAGCAACGCUGCUAAGGGUGCAGAGCCACACAUGCGCUCCGAGCUCUGCAUGGGAGACUGAAGCUGACAGAGCUGCAGCAGUUAGCAGGUUUCACCCUCAGAGACCACCAGGGGUUCAUGUUGAGGCAUUUUAAAAAUUUUUUUUGUGUGCCAUAGACACUGUCAGCACAAUCUGCAGUUACACUAACAAAAAUGCUGCAAAAAACAAAGAAUUAUGGAAAAAUUACACAUGGACUGACAUAGAGGAGGAUCUACACAAGUUUUUUACAUCAUGUUUUACAUCAUGCAUCAUUUACAUCAUGUUUUUUUGUAGUGGCAUAAAUAAAAAGUGACAUUUGUGAGACUAUACAGUGUUUUGUAAAUAAUUUUACAAAGAACGCCUGGGCCAUUGCCUGCAUUUUGAUGAAAAUAGAGGUAAAUCACUAUGUUCUUUGUUUAAAAUUUGCAUAUGUUUUGAAGUUUACAAUUUUUAUUUGAAGUUUAAGUUUUAAAAACAGUUCAUCACACAUAUUUGUGGUUUAAUUUCACAUUAAUUUCCAUAUUAUAUAAAUGACUGGAAAAAACUUGAGCCCCUGCCCCUGUAUAAUCAUGUGCACGUCCCUGUUCUAGCUCCAAGGUGAAUCUUCACUGCUCAUGUUCUCCUCAGAAAUAGUCACCUCACUCCCCUCAGGUUACUGUACACAUGCACCAACUAUCUGCUUCAGGUUUGAAAUGGAGCUUCAUGGUUGUCUUUUGGAGAAAUGAACAGUCAAGUUGUGUUUGAAAUUUGAUUUUUUUCAGGGGCAAAAGGAAGCCUCUGCAUUCUUGUCAAAUAUGUAAACAGCAUGUUUUUGCAGGUGCUAAAAAACAGACUCUGAGUGUGUGUGUGAAUCUGUGUGUGUGUGUGUGUGUGUGUGUGUGUGUGUGUAUGUUGGCGUGUGUGUAUAUGUGUGUGUAUCCUGCAGUACUCUGUACUCCUGCAGUGGCCAAAAAGACUUUUAAGAAUGUGGAUUUUUGGGUCAUCUUUGGCGCCCCUAGAACUGCAGUACUCUGUACUCCUGCAGUGGCCAAAAUGACUUUUAAGAAUGUGGAUUUUUGGGUCAUCUUUGGCGCCCCCUAGAACGUAAACCGUGGGGUGCAGCGUCAUGAUUUUUACAACUUUGAAUGGGCAUGGGGUGUAGAUUGCCCUGAGCAAAUUUGGUAUCGGUGGGACGAAAGCCUUAGGAGGAGAUAGCCACAUUCCAAUGUGUGCGAAUCGGCAAAAAAUGCAAAAUAGCCCUUUAACCGUACAUUAUACAGAUACGCGCUCUUUGACUUUUUCGUAGAUCUAAUUGAGAUACACAUGAUUGUCAAUUUUUGUGUCAAUAUGACAAAGCGUUCAGGCGUGACACUCAACAAUGUGUAUUUUCAUGUAAGGGGACAAGAAAAAAUUGACUUUUUUCUCCUACCAUGGGGGGGCGCUCUUUUGGGGAGUAAAAAUUCCUUCACAAAUGUGUUGAUGGCUGGACAUUGCAUCAUCCUAGAAAACUUGGAGGCCAGUGAGGACAAAAAUAAAAAGUUAUAAGACUUUUAAAAAUGUGGAUUUUAGGGUUAUCUUUGGCGCCCCCUAGAACGUAAACCGUGGGGUGCAGCGUCAUGAUUUGAAUAACUUUUAAUGGCCAUGGGGUGUAGAUUGGCCUGAGCAAAUGUGGUGCCGGUGGAAUGAAAGCCUUCGGAGGAGUUAGCGAAAUUCCAAUGUGUGCGGAUCGGCAAAAAAUGCGAAAUAGCCCUUUAACCGUACAUUUGACAGAUACGCCCGCACUGACUUUUUUGUAGAUCUUAUUGAGAUACAUGUGUGUGUCAAUUUUUGUGUCAUUUUGACAAAGCGUACAGGCGUGAAAGUCAAUAGUGUGAAUUUUCACCUUAGGGGGCGCUAUGGAGCCAUUUUGCAUUUUCUUGUUUGGGCGACUUCGGAAUAUCAAAUUUUUCACCAGGCCCGGUCGUCCUGCCAAAUUUCAUGAGUUUUCGCCAGUGGGAAGUGGGCCAUUUUCCAGUUCAAAGGGGAGGAAAAAGAAAAAAGAAACAAAGAAAAACCACUUGGGGAAUAAUAGGGCUCUCGCAGCUGCUUAGCAGCUACGCUCGGGCCCUAAUAAUAACAAAAGAAGGAAACAUGCAGGAACAAGAGGGCUCUCGCAGCUGCUUAGCAGCUACGCUCGGGCCCUAAAAAC